CCUACGGGAGGCAGCAGUGGGGAAUUUUCCGCAAUGGGCGAAAGCCUGACGGAGCAACGCCGCGUGAGGGAUGAAGGCCUCUGGGCUGUAAACCUCUUUUAUCAAGGAAGAAGAUCUGACGGUACUUGAUGAAUAAGCCACGGCUAAUUCCGUGCCAGCAGCCGCGGUAAUACGGGAGUGGCAAGCGUUAUCCGGAAUUAUUGGGCGUAAAGCGUCCGCAGGCGGUCUGUCAAGUCUGCUGUUAAAGCGUGGAGCUUAACUCCAUUUAGGCAGUGGAAACUGACAGACUAGAGUGUGGUAGGGGCAGAGGGAAUUCCCGGUGUAGCGGUGAAAUGCGUAGAUAUCGGGAAGAACACCAGUGGCGAAGGCGCUCUGCUGGGCCAUAACUGACGCUCAUGGACGAAAGCCAGGGGAGCGAAAGGGAUUAGAUACCCCUGUAGUCCUGGCCGUAAACGAUGAACACUAGGUGUCGGGGGAAUCGACCCCCUCGGUGUCGUAGCCAACGCGUUAAGUGUUCCGCCUGGGGAGUACGCACGCAAGUGUGAAACUCAAAGGAAUUGACGG
rnacentral:rRNA from 1 species